rnacentral:rRNA from 1 species
UACGGAGGGUGCAAGCGUUAUCCGGAUUCACUGGGUUAAAGGGCGCGUAGGCGGCCCGCUAAGUCGAACGUGAAAUCCCCGAGCUCAACUCGGAACUGCGUCCGAUACUGGCGGGCUUGAAUCCGGGAGAGGGAUGCGGAAUUCCGGGUGUAGCGGUGGAAUGCGUAGAGAUCCGGAAGAACACCGGUGGCGAAGGCGGUCUGCUGGGCAGUUGCUGACACUGAGGCGCGACAGCGUGGGAGCAACAGG